rnacentral:piRNA from 1 species
UAGUGUCAUUGAUUAGUUGGAGGUCUUGC